CAAGCAUUCACUGACAGAACCUUUUUCUCAAAUAAACAACUAUGGGAUUGAUUGCCUACUAUUUGUGUUUAGCACUGAUAAUUGAAGGCCAAAAAUUACAUUUUAUUUCUUCUCUUCACAAAAGAUUAAAUUCAACCAUUAGUUUAUUGUUUACUAUAAAUACUGUGGAUUACAAAAAGCAAAUACCCUAACACUAUUUCAGGAAAGC